GAUGAACGCUGGCGGCGUGCCUAAUACAUGCAAGUCGAGCGAAUGGAUUAAGAGCUUGCUCUUAUGAAGUUAGCGGCGGACGGGUGAGUAACACGUGGGUAACCUGCCCAUAAGACUGGGAUAACUCCGGGAAACCGGGGCUAAUACCGGAUAACAUUUUGAACCGCAUGGUUCGAAAUUGAAAGGCGGCUUCGGCUGUCACUUAUGGAUGGACCCGCGUCGCAUUAGCUAGUUGGUGAGGUAACGGCUCGCCAAGGCAACGAUGCGUAGCCGACCUGAUGGGGGGAGCGGCCACAAUGGGACUGAGACACGGGCCAGACUCCUACGGGAGGCAGCAGUAGGGAAUGUUCCGCAAUGGACGAAAGUCUGACGGAGCAACGCCGCGUGAGUGAUGAAGGCUUUCGGGUCGUAAAACUCUGUUGUUAGGGAAGAACAAGUGCUAGUUGAAUAAGCUGGCACCUUGACGGUACCUAACCAGAAAGCCACGGCUAACUACGUGCCAGCCGCCGCAGUAA
rnacentral:rRNA from 1 species